CUUGAUACUCCCAAAACAACCAUGGCGACCUGUGCAGCCAGUUUCGUGGUUGUGAGAAAACAUUCCACAGCCCACUAUCUGAUCAGCUAGGCUGGGUGAAGAUCCAGAGACGCUUUCAAAAGCUGGCCGGACACAUGCAAAAUAAGCCGCUUCCGGAAUGGGUGUCAGAGUAGAAGGCCACUUAUCCGAACAAGGGUCGCGGGAGAGCCGGAGCCCAACCCAGCUCGCAUCGGGCGAAAGACGGACUACACCCUGAACUGGUCGCCAGUCAGUUGCAGGGCAGAUAUCGACACCGUCAACUGAGCGGGAAUCGAUCCCACGCUGCCCGCACCAAAGUCAGGCGUGUGUACCACGACACCAUCACUGACCCUGUACCCCUAAUAUGUGUUAAAAUAUUGCGAAAUAUACCAUAUAUUGUAAAAUAACAAUAACAAUGAUGCAUAUUAAACGUUUUUAAUCAAGAGCCCACAAAGCUAUAACGUUUAAAAUAUAAAAAUUUUGGAAAUGGUAUUUCACAAGCCCACGGGUACUUUAUAAAAAUACAUUUUAACCGGCGAUAGAAAGAGCCCAGUGAGUAUUCGCCCCCUCGCAACCACACAGGGGUCGUCGACGGGGUCACCAACGUGGCGUCCAUUCUUUCACGUCAGAGAGGGGGAAAAAAAACCACCAACUCACUGUUGCCUGGCAACAUUUUAUCCCAACACAAGUGAAGUGAUGGCAACAUCCACCAAACGCGAGUGCCGCUCGUUACGUUGAACGCACCCCAGCAAGGGGGUGACGACGUGUUACGUGGGCGUGAGACCACCGAGACAGAAAAACGUGAAAAUCCUCAAAAAGUAAAAUACUGGGCAAUCCAAAGAUUCAAAUACUGCACAACAGUCCGAAUUGGAUUUGGUGCUUGCAGCCAUUACUCUAAUCCUCGUUUUCCAGCAACAUUAAUGAGCUUGCGUGUGUGUGUGUGUGUGUGCGAGCGGGUGGGUGGGUGUUUGUGUGUGUGUGCGUGAGUUGCAACCACGUGACCACAAAAAAAUGAUUUGCGGCUGAACUGGAUUUGAUCCAACUGUGAAUUUCUGUGAAAGCGAAAAGCUGUCUGGGUUGCUGAUCUGUCAGGAAGGGGGAUUGCAGGGGGGUAGGGAGGGGGGGGUCAUAGUUCA